GACAAACGGAGGAAGGUGGGAUGACGUCAAUCAUCAUGCCCCUUAUGUUCUGGGCUACACACGUGCUACAAUGGCCGGUACAGACGGACGCAAAGCCGCGAGGUGGAGCAAAUCCUAAAAAGCCGGUCUCAGUUCGGAUUGCAGGCUGCAAUUCGCCUGCAUGAAGUCGGAAUCGCUAGUAAUCGCAGGUCAGCAUACUGCGGUGAAUACGUUCCCGGGCCUU
rnacentral:rRNA from 1 species